AUAUAAGAACGCCUGCGAAGCCUGGAAAGCGUACGAAGAAAAGGUCAAGCCCUGCACGUAGCACAAAAAGGUUACGAUGAACCAAAAGAUCAUAAAGGACAUCAUUUUGAUGGAUCUCACACUAGAAGUUAGCCAACCCAUGAAAAUCCAGAUUCUGAUAUUGUAUUUUAUACGCUU